GGUGCUUAGGCACUGGUGAUUACCCUGAGCAGUAUGUUUUAAAAUGGAUUGAACGAGAGAGUUUGAUCCUGGCUCAGAUUGAACGCUGGCGGCAUGCCUAACACAUGCAAGUCGAACGGUAGCAGGCCUUCGGGUGCUGACGAGUGGCGGACGGGUGAGUAAUGCGUAGGAAUCUGUCUUUUAGUGGGGGGACAACCCAGGGAAACUUGGGCUAAUACCGCAUGAGCCCUGAGGGGGAAAGCGGGGGAUCUUCGGACCUCGCGCUAAGAGAAGAGCCUACGUCUGAUUAGCUAGUUGGUAGGGUAAAGGCCUACCAAGGCGACGAUCAGUAGCUGGUCUGAGAGGACGACCAGCCACACUGGGACUGAGACACGGCCCAGACUCCUACGGGAGGCAGCAGUGGGGAAUUUUUCGCAAUGGGGGCAACCCUGACGAAGCA
rnacentral:rRNA from 1 species